rnacentral:miRNA from 1 species
CGCCUAACCGUUGUCAUGUAAUA